rnacentral:rRNA from 1 species
GUCCUAGCUGUAAACGGUGCAUAUUUGCUGUAAAAGGAUUCGACCCCUUUUGUGGCGAAGCUAACGCGAUAAAUAUGCCGCCUGGGAAGUACGGUCGCAAGAUUAAAACUCAAAGAAAUUGACGGGGCCUGCACAAGCGGUGGAGUAUGUGGCUUAAUUCGAUGCAACGCGAAGAACCUUACCUGGCCUUGACAUGCGUGUAGUAGGAGGAUGAAAGUCCGACGAGGUAGCAAUACCAGCGCGCACAGGUGCUGCAUGGCUGUCGU